GAUGAACGCUAGCUACAGGCUUAACACAUGCAAGUCGAGGGGAAACGAUAUUGGAAGCUUGCUUCCGAUAGGCGUCGACCGGCGCACGGGUGAGUAACGCGUAUCCAACCUGCCCAUCACUUGGGAAUAACCUUGCGAAAGUAAGACUAAUACCCAAUGAUAUCCCACGAAGGCAUCCGAAUGGGAUUAAAGAUUUAUCGGUGAUGGAUGGGGAUGCGUCUGAUUAGCUUGUUGGCGGGGUAACGGCCCACCAAGGCAACGAUCAGUAGGGGUUCUGAGAGGAAGGUCCCCCCACAUUGGAACUGGAGACACGGUCCAAACUCCUACGGGAGGCAGCAGUGAGGAAUAUUGGUCAAUGGGCGAGAGCCUGAACCAGCCAAGUAGCGUGCAGGAUGACGGCCCUAUGGGUUGUAAACUGCUUUUAUAAGGGAAUAAAGUGAGCCUCGUGAGGCUUUUUGCAUGUACCUUAUGAAUAAGGACCGGCUAAUUCCGUGCCAGCAGCCGUCGG
rnacentral:rRNA from 1 species